rnacentral:lncRNA from 1 species
CCUUCGGCCGGAGGAACAUGGCAGCCCACACUGCAGCCACCCUCUUGGUCCUGCUGCUCUGCUGCUGGCGGGGAGCGGACCUCCAGCCACUGAACAUGACCACAGGUCAAACCACUGACCUGAGAACCGGUUCGAAAGACCACGAGGACAUACCUGGAGUAUUUGAUGAAAUCCUAGUCCAAGAGAUUCUGGAACCCAAUAAAUCGACGUCUAAAAUGCCAACGGCAGGAACAACGCUAUCAACAAGAAUAUUCAAGGAAAAAAAAGCCAGCCUCAAGGAGGAGGACGCCCCGUCGGCUGCUUCCGAGGGUCACCGUGUGCUCUCGGCGGUUCUCCCCGUCUCUCUCGGCCCUGAGGACAAGAUGGUCAACAACGAACCCAGUACUGACGACACCUACCAAGUCGGCGAGCCCGAGGGCUCCCCGGAGCCACAGUACCCCCCCGGCGUGGGAGACGUACUUCAGAAUAACGGAAAGAAGAAAUCGAAAAAUGAUCAGCACGAGAAACAAUCAGUUCUGGACAGGAUCCUGCAAAAUACUGAAAAAUCUCCAGGUAAACGGCAGCAAUACUGUGGCUUAACAACAUAGCAGCUCGUGGUGCUGGGCUGUCCCCCUGGUUGAAGGGAGCCGAGCAUCCAGUCCAGGCACACACGUGUCCCGUGAGUGGCUCUGCAAGAGCAGGUGCCUGGGUCCCCAUGGACCAGCCUCAAGCCAGGAGGCCCCGGCCCCCAGGUCCACAUUCCAGGCCUAACUCCCUCCCCAGGAGCAGCUGGGACAUGAGUCCUUGUCACACACGCACGUCACCACCCUGUGACCAGGCCUUCUCUGCAGGCCCCCCAGGCCCCCGGGGCCUCCCUGACUCACCCUUACUGCUGAGGUAGGUGCACAGGGCCCCGUGGCUUCUGCCCCUGCCCCACCCUUGUUCCUGGAGCUUUCCAGAACCACCCCUCCAGGCCGGCCCACCCGCCCUAGCCUCUCCCAGGCAGAAGCAGCACCAGGCGACCCUCCGGCAUCUUCCUCGCACUCCUGUCACCUUCGUUCAGCUCGUCUGUUUGCUGAGCACCUGCACCAGGCUCACGCAGGCCUACGUUCUUAGGCCUCAUCCCCACAACGCGAAGCCCACGGCCCAGGGGUGCUCAGCUGGGCUGCAAGUCCCAGCCUAAGGGGACUUCUGGGUUCUGGCUCUUCUGUCGCCUGCUCCUCCAAGCCCCUGUCCUCCCCAAAUCAGCAAGACCGCCCUCUGGUCCUGGGUUUACCCACGAGGGGGUCCCAGGCUGGGCGUGGCGACCCCCCCCAGGGGUUCAGGUGUUGUCCAGCACAGGCCAGAAGCCACUGCAGUGGGGCCUCCCGGCCUCGGACUAUGGGACCAGAGCCCGUCCUGGGGCCCUUGCCCCACUGCAGCCGAGACCCUGCUCCCCAAAGCCCCCGGGUCCCUCUCCUCCCCACUCCCCACCAGCCCCCCUGAACCCACACCCUGCUGUCCCUCCAUGGGAACACACCGGGCAGCCCUGACCGCUGGGGCUCUGACCUGCAUCUGUGACAUC